AUACGUAGGUGGCGAGCGUUGUCCGGACUUACUGGGCGUAAAGGGAGCGUAGGCGGAUUUUUAAGUGAGAUGUGAAAUACCCGGGCUUAACCUGGGUGCUGCAUUCCAAACUGGAUAUCUAGAGUGCAGGAGAGGAAAGUAGAAUUCCUAGUGUAGCGGUGAAAUGCGUAGAGAUUAGGAAGAAUACCAGUGGCGAAGGCGGCUUUCUGGACUGUAACUGACGUUGAGGCGCGAAAGCGUGGGGAGC
rnacentral:rRNA from 1 species